rnacentral:rRNA from 1 species
GCCCUUAGAGUUUGAUCCUGGCUCAGGACGAACGCUGGCGGCGUGCCUAAUACAUGCAAGUUGAGCGCUGAAGGUUGGUACUUGUACCGACUGGAUGAGCAGCGAACGGGUGAGUAACGCGUGGGGAAUCUGCCUUUGAGCGGGGGACAACAUUUGGAGACGAAUGCUAAUACCGCAUAAAAACUUUAAACACAAGUUUUAAGUUUGAAAGAUGCAAUUGCAUCACUCAAAGAUGAUCCCGCGUUGUAUUAGCUAGUUGGUGAGGUAAAGGCUCACCAAGGCGAUGAUACAUAGCCGACCUGAGAGGGUGAUCGGCCACAUUGGGACUGAGACACGGCCCAAACUCCUACGGGAGGCAGCAGUAGGGAAUCUUCGGCAAUGGACGAAAGUCUGACCGAGCAACGCCGCGUGAGUGAAGAAGGUUUUCGGAUCGUAAAACUCUGUUGGUAGAGAAGAACGUUGGUGAGAGUGGAAAGCUCAUCAAGUGACGGUAACUACCCAGAAAGGGACGGCUAACUACGUGCCAGCAGCCGCGGUAAUAAGGGCG